rnacentral:rRNA from 1 species
CUGGCGGCGUGCCUAACACAUGCAAGUCGUGCGAGUAAAGUUUCCUUCGGGAAGCGAGUACAGCGGCGCAAGGGUGAGUAACACGUAGGUAACCUACCCUCGAGCCUGGGAUAACCUACCGAAAGGUGGGCUAAUACCGGAUAUGACACACGGCGGUUUCGGCCGCUGCGGUGAAAGGUGGUCUCUGCUCGCAUGCUAUUACUCGGGGAUGGGCCUGCGCGCCAUUAGCUUGUUGGUGAGGUAACGGCUCACCAAGGCUCCGAUGGCUAGCUGGUCUGAGAGGAUGACCAGUCACACUGGGACUGAAACACGGCCCAGACUCCUACGGGAGGCAGCAGUGGGGGAUAUUGCGCAAUGGGCGAAAGCCUGACGCAGCGACGUCGCGUGGGUGAUGAAGGCCCUCGGGUCGUAAAGCCCUGUCGAGGGGGAAGAAAUGGUCGAGACCCAAUACGU